AGCGAACGCUGGCGGCAGGCUUAACACAUGCAAGUCGAGCGGGCAUCCUUGUGGUGUCAGCGGCAGACGGGUGAGUAACGCGUGGGAACGUGCCCUUCGGUUCGGAAUAACUCAGGGAAACUUGAGCUAAUACCGGAUACGUGCGAGAGCAGAAAGGUUUAUCUGCCGAAGGAUCGGCCCGCGUCUGAUUAGCUAGUUGGUGAGGUUACGGCUCACCAAGGCGACGAUCAGUAGCUGGUCUGAGAGGAUGAUCAGCCACACUGGGACUGAGACACGGCCCAGACUCCUACGGGAGGCAGCAGUGGGGAAUAUUGGACAAUGGGGGCAACCCUGAUCCAGCCAUGCCGCGUGAGUGAUGACGGCCUUAGGGUUGUAAAGCUCUUUUCUCCGGGACGAUAAUGACGGUACCGGAGGAAUAAGCCCCGGCGAACUUCGU
rnacentral:rRNA from 1 species